rnacentral:rRNA from 1 species
GAUGAACGCUAGCUACAGGCUUAACACAUGCAAGUCGAGGGGAAACGAUAUUGGAAGCUUGCUUCCGAUAGGCGUCGACCGGCGCACGGGUGAGUAACGCGUAUCCAACCUGCCCAUCACUUGGGAAUAACCUUGCGAAAGUAAGACUAAUGCCCAAUGACAUUUAUAGAAGGCAUCUGAAAUGAAUUAAAGAUUUAUCGGUGAUGGAUGGGGAUGCGUCUGAUUAGCUUGUUGGCGGGGUAACGGCCCACCAAGGCAACGAUCAGUAGGGGUUCUGAGAGGAAGGUCCCCCACAUUGGAACUGAGACACGGUCCAAACUCCUACGGGAGGCAGCAGUGAGGAAUAUUGGUCAAUGGGCGAGAGCCUGAACCAGCCAAGUAGCGUGUGGGACGAAUGCCCUAUGGGGUUGUAAACCACUUUUUAUAAGGGAAUAAAGUGAGAGUCGUGACUCUUUUUGCAUGUACCUUAUGAAUAAGGACCGGCUAAUUCCGUG